UAAGACACUAUUUGAAAUGUUUAUUCGAGUUCAAUGACUUCAUACAUGAAAGUUUGAAUGGUGGUAAUUGUACUAUAGGAACUAUAGUGGAAAUCAAUUAUGGGUAUGCCAUGUUCCCGUCAUAAAUAUGACAUAGAAAUACCAGAUAUAAAUGAAGAAAGACUUGGUUUCAAGAAGGAACCUGGUUUGUUCGGUAUGCCAUGUUCCCGUCAUAAAUAUGACAUAGAAAUACCAGAUAUAAAUG